rnacentral:rRNA from 1 species
GAGUUUGAUCCUGGCUCAGAUUGAACGCUGGCGGCAUGCCUUACACAUGCAAGUCGAACGGCAGCACGGGAGCUUGCUCCUGGUGGCGAGUGGCGAACGGGUGAGUAAUGCAUCGGAACGUAUCCUGGAGUGGGGGAUAACGUAGCGAAAGUUACGCUAAUACCGCAUAUUCUGUGAGCAGGAAAGCGGGGGACCUUCGGGCCUCGCGCUCUUGGAGCGGCCGAUGUCGGAUUAGCUAGUUGGUGAGGUAAAGGCUCACCAAGGCGACGAUCCGUAGCAGGUCUGAGAGGAUGAUCUGCCACACUGGAACUGAGACACGGUCCAGACUCCUACGGGAGGCAGCAGUGGGGAAUUUUGGACAAUGGGGGCAACCCUGAUCCAGCCAUGCCGCGUGAGUGAAGAAGGUCUUCGGAUUGUAAAGCACUUUAAGUUGGGAGAAGGGCAGUAAGUUAAUACCUUGCUGUUUUGACGUUACCGACAGAAUAAGCACCGGCUAACUCUGUGCCAGCCG